rnacentral:rRNA from 1 species
UACGUAGGGGGCAAGCGUUGUCCGGAAUCAUUGGGCGUAAAGAGCGCGUAGGCGGUCCGAUAAGUCGGUUGUGAAAACUGGGGGCUCAACCCUCAGAGGCCGACCGAUACUGUCGGGUGCUAGAGUCCGGAAGAGGCGAGUGGAAUUCCUGGUGUAGCGGUGAAAUGCGCAGAUAUCAGGAGGAACACCAAUGGCGAAGGCAGCUCGCUGGGGACGGUACUGACGCUGAGGCGCGAAAGCGUGGGGAGCAACAGG